GUGGCAGACGGAGAUGCACAUGUGUAGUCAGCCGGCAUUUUUCGAGUCGUGUUGUAAAUGUUGUUAAUUCGCCGUAAAUAUCUCUUGAUUUGUACUCAAGGGUGGAGCAAGACCCCAAGGAAGAGAGAUUGACGCAUCGGGAGCGAAGAACAGAAACGAUGGAUGGUUACGCAGCUUGGGUCUCGGCACGUUCGAAUUGGCAAAGUUCCGAAUUUGUUGCUGUGUUGUGUACGCUUGUGCGCUCGUUAUUUGCCGUCAUCGCGCGGAGAUAUUUGCGCUGGAUGUCUUUCACUUCGUGUACAAAACUCUGCUCGCUGCGGCAUCGAAGAAGUUGUCCUGUGUUUGGGUGCACGUAUGCGCUUGGACACGGAUAGCCUGCUUGCUCUCAACGGGUGUUCAAGUCUACGCGCGCUCGUAACUUGCUCAUGAGGCAAGUUGCUGUUGUGCUGGAGCUGAGAAGAGGUCUGCUGCCUGCAGUGGGUCCAUCUCUCUCAAGUUAUUGCAGUAUUAUAGCUCUCAAGGUUCAAAAAAAGUAUGGUGGAAGCUGUUGCCAAGGUUCCGACCAGAAAAGACAGCCAGUAUAAAAGGGUCCACGCCACUGAUCUCUACUACAGGGGAUGAACAGCACAUCGAGCGCCCUCGACUGAAGCCGGCCUUGUCCCGGAAGUUGGUGCUUGACAACUUUGCGGCAGCACUUUGUUGCACGGCCUGUGGAGACAAGGUUUCUUAGACAUGGCCGUGGCCCUCAAGGAAGAUGCCGAGGCCACAGGCAGUUCCUCCAGAGAACGUGAAAAGGUCCCCUGGGGCACAAGUCUGGUUUGGCACCCCCACCUUUCUCCUGCAGCUUUUCUGUCUACUUAGCUAACCAGCAGCAAGUUUAUCCUUGCAAGUGUUUGGAGUCAAGAACAACUUUCACCAGGAAGAAGUGCAAGACGAGUGAUUGAAGAAAAUAAAGUUGCUUCUGUGAUCUAAGAACUUGAGGACUGAAAUGUUGCACCUUUUUGUAUAUAUGCUAUGCAGUGCAUUCAUAUCACAAAGUGCAAA